UCAAGGAGAGAACGCCUGCAGGCCUGGGAGAUUGCGAUCAGGGUCGAUCUCUGAAUUUAAUGACUCACUGCUGACCUUGUGCUGUUGUGCUGUUUUUCGCAACCAGUUUCCCUUUGUGUUUAUUAUCUGCCACAGACCCUCUGUGUGUCACUGAACCUGGAUUCUGUUGUAGUUUGUUUCUUUUGUUGUUAAUCAUUUUUGCUGAAUGGCUGCUACUGUUACAGUUAUUCCGUUGAUCUGUCUUGUGUGCAAAUCAACUAGUUCUCUGCACAAGGGAAUUCUGGACAGAUUGGCAUUUGCUGUGUGUACUGGUUACUGAGGAAACGUGUGGGGUACCCAAAUGUGCUGCAUUGCAGUCUCCAAACAGUAGAAAUUUAAAGAGCCAGCUGGUGCAUCUUUCAGGAAUUUCAUAAAAAAGGUCACUAGCUGUGCUUAUGGUUAAAGGGGAUUUCUUUUCAUUUUGCUUUUAAAGAAAUAUCAAGCAGUGUUUCUCAACUGGUCAGCAUUGCUCCGGGGACUGGUGCCGACCAGGGGUCGAGAAAGAUGAAUCUAAGGAAGUAUUUGUCUCCAAGCUUUAUGGGCCCUGGAUUCCAUCUAGAAUUCCUGAUUCUGCUGCCUCAGACUCGGACUUGCAUGACUGCUCCUGGCAAGUGAUGUGAAGAGGCAGGAUACUCCUGUCCAUGAAUGGAUCUGCACUUGGUUUUCUGAUGUUGGGGCCCCAAUCUGGAAUGGUCAGAUACCAGCAAAUCCCCCGGCUAAGGCUCAUGGGAACCAUCAUGCAGCGCUACUGUCUGCUGAAGAACUGCCAAGGCCUCUGCUGUACCAUUUACUGUAGCCUACAGCCCUUGAGCAACGAAGUGAGAAGCCUCCUGUUUGCUAACUCUGUAGGGGGAUGGACCUGGAUUGGGUGGAGGAACCGUUUUCACUCUGUUGCUCU